GUGCAAUCUCUAUGGUAACCACAUUUCCCAGUUGACUACUACCGGUAAUAAAAUCAAAUGGAUUCAGUGCUCACAACUCUUCAGUCUUUGGGCUACUUUCCAUUCUUGAAUUUUUAGCUGAAUUCAUCUCUUUGGCUGGAUUUUGUGAAUCGGGCAGCCAUUAGAACCAAAACAGUUCUGAGGAGCUCCCAGGCUGCAAUGUGGUGCGAAAUGUUUUAUGGACAGAAAAUGGAAAUGAGGUGCAGAAAUUGGAGGCUAAGAAUAAACUUGAAGACAAAGAGUAGAUUUUGGCCAGACACUGAUGCUAAAGUCACCCCGAUGCUGUCUUUGCUUCUAAGAUGAAAUUUCAGUCUUUAUUCAAGAUCAAGUGCAACUGUCUCUUUGAGGAAAGUCCUUUGACCGCCAUUUCUCCCCUUCAGAAGGCAAACACCUGGGGGAGAAGAUCUGCUUAAGGACCUGGUAACUGACAAAGAAUGGAAUGGGAGCGAGAACCGCCUAGCCAUCCCUUCUCCUUGCACAGUCAUGAAACAAAAGUUGAAAAGGAGCCUGGUUUUACUUGACCAGUCAUAAAUUACCAUAAAAUAAAAUGAGAUAUUAGGAA